UUGUCUGCUGAGUUUCC
rnacentral:miRNA from 1 species